rnacentral:lncRNA from 1 species
UGAGACAUAUUAACUAGUUUAUUAAUGAAAGACCCUCGGACCGAGGAGUCUCUACAAAUCGGACGAUCCCCCCCAAAACACUCAAUGUCCAGUCCAGCUGAUGCAAAAACAAGAGGUAAGUUUAUUAUGGGACGUUUGCGCAAACGGGCUUCCCAGUCCGACAGACAAAGAAGAAGCCCUGUUCCUCUAAAGCAGGCUCCUUUUAUAGGAGAAAAAACCAUAGGCUUUUAGGGGUUUGGGUACGUGACCAGAGUCACAGAUCCUUUGGAGAUCUCUUAUCUUUGGGGCCGGAUGGUCUCCUGGCUCAGUGGGAUAGUCUGUUUCUAUCUUCAUGACCCUAGGGCAGGGUGGCCCUCUAGGAAUUCUUGGUAUUCAGUUAGGUUGUCUUGUGGCCUUGUAAGGGAGUUAUAUCUGCCAGCUAAGAAAUUCCAGGGGCUUGGGUCAUUGUGACCUUGGUUAGGUUUUAAGUCAGGUCUCCCUGUUCUUAGGGUGAGAGGAUUGUUUUUCUUCUUAGUUAUUUCUUUGUUAAUUCUAAAGUCCUUCAUUAUAAGCUCGGCAGAGUAGAGAGACUAAGAGAGAAGAGGAACAGGGGUAAUGGCUGACCGCCAUGGCCAGUUGCCACAGAGAGGCAGAAAAAGCGCCUAGGUGAGAGAGAGCCAAGAAGAAACAGAGAGAGAGAGUAAAAGAGAGAGCAGCAGGGAAGUUGUUGCUUUUAAGGGAAAGACUACGCAUGCACACUGAGGUUUCGCACAUAUGCAGAGUCCUCACGAAGGCCGCAAUGCAUGGCGGGUGAUGUGGUGAUGACGUAGCAAGUUUUCCUGUGUGUGCCCUGCUUGUUGUUAGGGGGGCGGGGUCAUCCAGGUGUAUUGUUCUUACAAUCCCGGCUGUUGUUUAUUAUAAAAGUUGGAGAAUUGGAUGUGGCAGGUUAGGAAGUAGGGACGAAGAAAUCUCAAGGCUGCUUCCUGCUGACCUGGGGCGUUGAUCGUCUUUGGGGGGAUCUGAGAAGAUUGGGGUGCUGCCACGUCCUGGGGUAGAUGGUUGUUUCAUUGUGGUCCAGGCUGUAUGGGACUCCCUGGCGUCUCUUAGACCUACUUACCUUAUCGGACACCUUCCAUUGGCAUCCCCCCCUUGCCGGUGGAUCACAUCACGCCACUGAAGGAAGCUCAGAGGGAAAAAAGGGACCACUUCCUACUUCUCCUUCCUUAAAUAUGAGUCUCCUUGCUCUGUCACUUCCUGGCGGGAUCAUCACUUCUCUACUACAUUUCCCAGAAUCCUCCUCGACUCCUAGUCCUGACUAACUUGCUGCCUCAUUGUCCAAACAGUACUUUAUCAUCCAGUAAGACAAACACAUACACAGAAG